GACGAACGCUGGCGGCGUGCUUAACACAUGCAAGUCGAACGGAAAGGCCCUGCUUGCAUGGUGCUCGAGGGGCGAACGGGCGAGUAACACGGGGGUGAUCUGCCCCCUACUUUUGGGUAAGGCUUGGCAACUGGGUCUUUUACCGGAUAGCACCAUGCUGCAGGUGGUGUGGUGGAAAGAUCUGCGUCGGUAGGGGGUGAGCUUGCGGCCGAUCAGCUUGUUGGUGGGGUAAUGGCCUACCAAGGCGUCGACGGGUAGCCGGCCUGAGAGGGUGGACGGCCACGUUGAGACUGCGACGCGGGCCAGACGCGUGCAGGAGGCAGCAGUGGGGAAUAGUGCGAAACAGGCGCAAGGCGGAUGCAGCGACGGCGCGGGGGGGAUGAAGCCCUUCGGGUUGUAAACACCUGCCAGCCGUGAAGAAGCCGUUGUGGUGACGGUAGUGAUAGAAGAAGCACCGGCUAACUACGUG
rnacentral:rRNA from 1 species